rnacentral:rRNA from 1 species
GUGUGCAACCUGCCUUUAUCAGGGGGAUAGCCUUUCGAAAGGAAGAUUAAUACCCCAUAAUAUAAUUGAUGGCAUCAUUGAUUAUUGAAAACUGAGGUGGAUAAAGAUGGGCACGCGCAAGAUUAGAUAGUUGGUGAGGUAACGGCUCACCAAGUCGAUGAUCUUUAGGGGGCCUGAGAGGGUGAUCCCCCACACUGGUACUGAGACACGGACCAGACUCCUACGGGAGGCAGCAGUGAGGAAUAUUGGACAAUGGGUUAGCGCCUGAUCCAGCCAUCCCGCGUGAAGGACGACGGCCCUAUGGGUUGUAAACUUCUUUUGUACAGGGAUAAACCUACCCUCGUGAGGGUAGCUGAAGGUACUGUACGAAUAAGCACCGGCUAACUCCGUGCCAGCAGCCGCGGUAAUACGGAGGGUGCAAGCGUUAUCCGGAUUUAUUGGGUUUAAAGGGUCCGUAGGCGGAUGUGUAAGUCAGUGGUGAAAUCUCACAGCUUAACUGUGAAACUGCCAUUGAUACUGC